UAAAUUUUAGUUUAAAUUAAAAAUGAUUCAUUUACAUUGAAUAGAUUUUAUAAGAAAUAAAAAAUUUAA
rnacentral:tRNA from 1 species